UACGGAGGGUGCAAGCGUUAUCCGGAUUUACUGGGUUUAAAGGGUGCGUAGGCGGAUUGGUAAGUCAGUGGUGAAAGCCCCGGGCCUAACUCGGGAACUGCCAUUGAUACUAUCAAUCUUGAAUUCAGUUGAGGUGGGCGGAAUGUGUCGUGUAGCGGUGAAAUGCUUAGAUAUGACACAGAACACCAAUUGCGAAGGCAGCUCGCUAAACUGACAUUGACGCUGAGGCACGAAAGCGUGGGGAUCAAACAGG
rnacentral:rRNA from 1 species